UACGUAGGGUGCAAGCGUUAAUCGGAAUUACUGGGCGUAAAGCGUGCGCAGGCGGUUCGGAAAGAAAGAUGUGAAAUCCCAGGGCUUAACCUUGGAACUGCAUUUUUAACUGCCGGGCUAGAGUAUGUCAGAGGGGGGUAGAAUUCCACGUGUAGCAGUGAAAUGCGUAGAGAUGUGGAGGAACACCGAUGGCGAAGGCAGCCCCCUGGGUUAACACUGACGCUCAGGCACGAAAGCGUGGGGAGCAAACAGG
rnacentral:rRNA from 1 species